rnacentral:rRNA from 1 species
CCCGCGUCUGAUUAGCUAGUUGGUAAGGUAACGGCUUACCAAGGCGACGAUCAGUAGCCGACCUGAGAGGGUGAUCGGCCACAUUGGAACUGAGACACGGUCCAAACUCCUACGGGAGGCAGCAGUGGGGAAUAUUGCACAAUGGGCGAAAGCCUGAUGCAGCAACGCCGCGUGAGUGAUGAAGGCCUUCGGGUCGUAAAACUCUGUCCUCAAGGGAGAUAAUGACGGUACUUGAGGAGGAAGCCCCGGCUAACUACGUGCCAGCAGCCGCGGUAAUACGUAGGGGGCUAGCGUUAUCCGGAUUUACUGGGCGUAAAGGGUGCGUAGGCGGUCUUUCAAGUCAGGAGUGAAAGGCUACGGCUCAACCGUAGUAAGCUCUUGAAACUGGGAGACUUGAGUGCAGGAGAGGAGAGUGGAAUUCCUAGUGUAGCGGUGAAAUGCGUAGAUAUUAGGAGGAACACCAGUUGCGAAGGCGGCUCUCUGGACUGUAACUGACGCUGAGGCACGAAAGCGUGGGGAGCAAACAGGAUUAGAUACCCUGGUAGUCCACGCUGUAAACGAUGAGUACUAGGUGUCGGGGGUUACCCCCUUCG